UCCAGAAACAACUGAGGUGUCCUACGAAUACUUUUUGUGGCCUUCAAAUAGAAGAGAAGGGCUCGUUGAAUGUCUAGCGAAUGCAUUGUCCGUUCGAGAGCAGAGGAAGGCUCCCUGAAAAUGGGGCAGACCUAAAACUUGAGCCAUUUCCGCCACUUGCUGAUGAUAGCCCUUCAUCUCCUCAUUGGGCGAAGUAGAAGGAAAAACGGCCACAUCCGAAUCUGGAUCCGGGAGAACAGGAGUCUCAAGGUCUUCUGAAUCAGCUACAGUCAAGGCUGAGGUGCAGUCAUCCUCUAUAUCAUCAUCAUCAUCAUCAUCAUCAUCAUCAUCAUCAUCAUCUCCAUCUGAUGACACCGGUGUAGACCCAGGACUCGUGCCAUUUCCGCCACCUGCUGAUGGUAACUUUUCAUCUCCUCAUUGGGCUAAAUUGAUGGAAUUGCAGCAACAUCCGAAUCCGGAUCCGGGAGAGCAGGUGCCUCUGGGUCUUCCAGAUCUGCCUCCGUCGAGUCUGAGGUAUAGUCAUCCUCUAUAUCAUCGUCGUCGUCAUCACCCUUGGAUAAAACAGGUGGUGGCUCCUGCGUCGAAGGUUUAUCCUUGUGCUUUCUCUUCUGGCUUGAAUGGCGAUCCUCCAGCCGCUUAAAUGGGGCUAAGGUGCCCGAUGUCGAAGUGGUCGAUGCCGUAGCCUUUGAAGCCGAUGCAGAUGUCAAAGCGGUCGACGCCGUAGCCUUCGUAGCCAGUGCAGAUGUCGAAGCAAUUGACGCCGCAGCUUUCGCAGCCAAUUUUGAGGAGCCCGCCUCCACCUGGACUUUAGACUGCACUUUCGAAGCAGGACCCAGCAAUGCCCCCUCAGUAGCCAUCUUAGGUGCUAGAGACUCCUCGAGCAAAUACACUCUAAGGCGUGCUGCACGAUUUUUCAAAGUCUGCUUGUUAAAGGUAACGCAGACUGAGCAGGCUUUUGUGUCGAGCUUCUCUCCCAAACAAAACGAACAGAGGGCAUGGCCGUCUGUUGAGGGGAUCUUUCCGCAGCAGUUGGUACACCGCUUAAAGGUUGUUUUGUCCUUGACAGACUUCCCUGAACCAUCUGCCUUACCAGGUUUUUUGCUCAUUUUAGAGAAGAGUAGUCGUCUGUUCUGUCGUCAGAGGGGGAUAUCAGAGAUUGAAACCAAAUCCGAAGGAGUGUCCGUAUCCAAAGCCGAGUCCGUAUUCAGAAGUUUCAAGCUGUUUAAGUCUCAAACAAUGCCAAGUCUGAAGGAGUAUCCAAAGAAUAGUCAGAGUCCGUUUCCAAUGUUCAGAGAUCCAAAAAUACGGGGGAAAAGGAGCAAACUGUCUCCGAGUACUGAUCGCAAUGGCGGUCAGAAAGAAACUGAUUGCAGAGAUGCCCAACCGCCACUAGAGGCUUCUACAGUCACGUGCAACAGGCGGUUGCCGGUGUCAAGAGGAGCUAACAAAUUCUACCCGAAGCUGAUCUGCGCAGGCGAGGAACCCACUAUUUAUGGAUGAUGGAACCACUAUCCAGAUUAGAUAAGUACUACUAAAGUCAGUGACUUGUGUGCUAUAGGAGCAAUUUGAGGAGCUGAGGGUUUGCCUAGCAAAUUCCAUAAUAAAACAACAGGAGAUACAUUGGAAUAUAAUAUCCAUGAUGUUCAAUGUCGAUACAUUUACAAACAGAAUAAAAUAAACAAGAUGACUUGAACCUCUUAAGACAGGAAGGUUAACAUGACCUGAUAGUUAACUAAGACUUGGAGGGAUGAAACCCAGAACUGGAUUGUCUUAAAAAUAUAUAUAAAUGCAACGGAAAGAAGGAAGAAUAGCAUUAUAUAUCAAAUGGAGAAAUAAAUAAAAUGGGGCCAGAGUCUACUAAAAUUGCCAUACUAAGGAGAUGAUAUGGAUGAUGUUUUCCUGAAAUAUAUUCCAGACGUUUCAAGGAAACAAGAAUUAGUACUAACAGGGGACUUUACCCUGAUAUGUGUUGAGAGACAAAUCUUGCUAAUCACAAAAUCUCUGCAGAUUCUCUACAUGCCUUGAUGAGACACCUUUUUUAUGGUUGUUACAUGGUGCUAUGCUAUGGCAUUACUAAAAUAAAUUUGAUAUAUAUUAUACCUGAAAUUCAUCAAAUAAGUUACAAAAGGAGACUGCAGGAACAGUUGAUACCCGGAAAUGGAAAAGCUCAGAUCCCUGUUGAAAAGGAAAUAACUAAUCAUCUAUAGUAACAUUACUGUCAUUCAAGAAAUACAAUUUACAUCCUUGGAAAUUAAUAGGAUCUAGUAGCUUUUUCCUGUAUGAACUGAAUGGAAACUUAGGAAUGGAAAGGUAAUUGUUUAAAAGGCAAUUUGGAGUUUGGCAUAAUACAGCCUAGAUGCUGCAGCAGCAGCAGCAGCAUAAUGCACUUAAUAUUUUAAAACUCCUGGAUCUGAUAACUUAUCUGAAGGGAAUCCAUUAUGUCAUGGAUGUCAAAAAAGGAAAUAUCACCUCAGUGAUGCUAGCCCUCAGCAGAAUGACUCUCCUUGCUGUUUUCCUCAAUCUGAAGUUACAAUUUACAUGAGGUUUGGGGGUGGGGGAAAUGGCAUAACUGAACGCUCAUUCAUAUAAAAAUUUCCUGCACACAGAAAAUUAAAUGUCAAGGAGAGAAGAUCUAGCCUCAUCUGGGAUGCUAGUUUUCCUAAACACUUGAUUUUUGUUUAACCCCAACGUAUCUUAUACAUGUGUAACCACGGAACGGCCAUGUCAAAUAUGAGAUAAUGGAUUGUAUAUAUCUGAACUGAAUAAUACUUUUUAAAAAUGUAUACAGAAUAUUAGUUCAGAGGAGUUUUGGUACUCAUGUUUUGGUGUUGUCUAAAAUAUGUAUUUUAUAUGAAACUUACAUGUAUACUUAUAGUGAGACCAUCUGGAUUAUACAACGUUGUGUUGAGUUUAUGUGCUAAAUAUUCUCUCAUUUUUAUCACACUUGAUGUUACAUCGGA